CCACAACCCCCACCUAGGGGUGCUUGGGCUUGCUGGUUACUGGUUCUCAGAGUGUGGACCCCAGACUAUUGUUGGCACAAACACUGUUAGGAGUGACGAUUCAGAGGCUAUGGGGAUGACUGCUAGCUGCACAAGCAUAAGGACCUGAGUUCAAAUCCCAAGAUGCCAUGUGAAAAGUCAGGUGUGGUUCUGCAAGUGCUUGUGAUUCUGGUGUUGUGGGGGUUAGAGACAGGAGGAUCACUCAGCUUGUGGACCACCAGCCAAGUUCCAGCUUCAGUAAGAAACCGUGUCUCAGGAGAAUAUGGUGGUCCAUGUAGAGUGAGACACCAUGAACAGGCCCUGCCUGCUGUAUCCCCCGGACCAACUGAAUCAGGAAUAAAAUCAGGGAUAAAACUGGUCACAGUUCGACUCCUGGGGACCAGCAAGGGUUAUGAUGUGCUGAGGUGAGCGUGUCCCUGCCCAGCCACACGUCCCUUAUGCCCUGCUUCAAAUGGAGAGCAGCUCCUGCCCUCAGCUCCAGCUGACCCAUCACUCACUCACCUUCCGAGAUCGAGCUCAAAGCUGAUCCCUUACAAGAAGCGUUCCCUGGUCAAUAACGAUUAUGCCUCGUGUUUAUAUAGCAUUUUUAUCUUCCCAGAGGCCUUUCGCAUACGUUGUCUCAUUCUAGCGUCUCAGACCCUGCUAGGAAGCAGGGGCCUGCCAGGAAGCAGGGUGGUCCCCAUUCAGGACGGGCAGGAGGCAGCCUGCAGACCUUGAUGAAUGUGCCCAGAGCUAAAGAG
rnacentral:lncRNA from 1 species